rnacentral:rRNA from 1 species
GAUGAACGCUGGCGGCGUGCCUAACACAUGCAAGUCGAACGGAAAGACGCUGAGUUUGUGGGUUGCACGUUAGCGGCAGGCGGGUGAGUAACGCGUGUAUCCUCCACUUGUCUUUCGGGGAUCAUCACGGAACUGCGGCUAUUAUACGAUAUAAUAUGCUGCACCGGGGUGUGCGAUGGUAAGUGUCGGCGGUUGGGGUUGGUAUCGCGGGUUACGAGCUUGUUUGGGGGGUUGGUGCUGACCAAGGCUUUGACGGGUAGGCCGCCUGGGAGGGGGACCGGCCACAUGGGGACUGAGAUACGGCCCAGACGGGUACGGGCGGCAGCGGUGGGGAAUAUUGCACAAUGGGCGGAAGCCUGAUGCAGCAACGCCGCGUGCGGGAUGACGGCUUUCGGGGUGUAAACAGCUGUCGCCUGUGACGAAGCGUGAGUGACGGUAAUGGGUAAAGAAGCACCGGCUAACUACGUG